UACGUAGGGGGCGAGCGUUGUCCGGAAUCAUUGGGCGUAAAGAGCGUGUAGGCGGCUUGGCAAGUCUGACGUGAAAGCCCGCGGCUCAACCGCGGAUUGUCGUUGGAAACUGCCUCGCUAGAGUCCGGAAGAGGAGAGCGGAAUUCCUGGUGUAGCGGUGGAAUGCGCAGAUAUCAGGAAGAACACCCGUGGCGAAGGCGGCUCUCUGGGACGGUACUGACGCUGAGACG
rnacentral:rRNA from 1 species